CACUCAUCUCGUUCGAUCCCCACCAGGCUCAUCCAGAUGCGCCAUUUCUCCUGAUUUGCUGCUGGCAAAGGAAGAUGUCGUUGGUGCCAGCAGUAAACUAAUUCCCAGCCUAUUCUCCAGCAUGCGGAUCGAGUCUGCCGGCGCGGCCACGGGGAGGGCAAGGGAGAACAUGGCGUGCUGUUCAAACUCGUCAUGGCCGGCGGCGAGCUGUCAUAGCUGAGGUGCUGGAUGUGGGUGGCUGCGCUGAUGGAGCUUACGGAGAAGGCUGCACCAAUUUGUGAAUUUCCUUCUCGCAAAAAAAUUGUGAAUUUCCCAGGCGAACUCAUGCUACGGAGAAUGGUUGGAUCUAAAGGCACGGGACUACGGAUGGCACCAUGGCUAUGGUCCAUGAGAUCAAUUGGGUAAUGUAGGCAAGUCUCACACCGCGGACUGCUCAGCGCGGUGGUUCUCCUAUUAGCUGAGGCGCUGGAGAAGAGACAGUCAGGAUGGCGACACCGGGCUAAUCUAGCCGUAUGUGGAACACUGGAGAGCAUGCGAUUGGCGUUUAUCAUGUUUUGCUAUUAAUAAGUUUAUGAAGCAAGGUAUAUCUGAGCUGAGUGCUACUUAGCAAAAAUAGCCGUACAUUAUAACAAUAUGAAGAAAGUAUUCAAACUGAUCUGGAUUAAGGACACCAUGGUAAGAUUCACAUGUUAUCAACUUAUCUUGCUAUAUAGUAUUUGCCAAUGCAAAUAUAUUGCAUUUUUUGGAUUCUGCAACUUUAAAAUUGCUAAAUGUGUAAAUAGACCGCACAUUGAUCUUUGAUUAGAAAGUUUCUAUCAAAUUCUUCCAGAUAGUGGUAUGAAUUGUUUAAACUUGGGAAAAUGAUCAAAUAUACUUAAUAAUUGUUGUUUAAAAGAAUAAAACAAUUUGCAACUACAUAUAUAAAGAACAGUCAUGUUCUUUGUCAGGAACUCAUGAUCAUAUCUAGGCAGACAAACUCAUUUGUUGUAGGAUUGAUCAAAUCCCAUUCUCAUUACUUUCACUUGAAUGUUCCAGUUUUCUCCCCUUGUCGUUAAGUCGCUCAACUUCUUGUAAUCAGAUCUUUUGCUUCAGAAGGAUAUAAAUAGUUGUCAAUGGAUGAAGUUAUUGUGAAAUCUUUAUCAAGAAUGAUUGAGCUUUCUAAGUAUGUAAUAAUUACCAAACUUUGUGAUUUACGUGAGACAUAGUUGAGCAGGACUUCGUCCAACGCCGAAUUGCUUGUCCUGUGAAGCAGUUGGGCGUAGGUUUGUUUGGUGUUGACUGUUGAGUUCCAUGUCGUGAUUGCGUCAUCAUAUUGGCUGACUUCAAUUUCUUCGGUGGUGUAUUCGUGGUUUUUGGAUGACGUCUACUCUUUCGGGCGUGUGCAUGUGUUGUUGGUUGGAGAUGUUUAUAUGGGUAGUUGUGGCUGACACCCUUUGGAGUUCUAAUCAGAUCGGUAAUUUGCAUGCAUAAGUGUGUUUAGAUAUCUAAGAACAUGAGGUGUGCGUCUUGUUUGAUUAGGUAUGCAUUUUGGAGUCCGACACAUCUAGAGUUAUGAUAAUAUAUUUUUCAUAUUUACGUGAGAUGUGCUUCUUAUUUGAUUAGGUAUGAUUGUUGGAGUCCUAUUCAUUGUUGCCUCUUAUCCAUUGCUGCGAAACAGACAUAUUUAAUAAUAGGAAGACAUGAGGGAAAAUCGAAGGCAUGUUGAAUUAUUUGGACGUGUACGUGACGGGCCGAGCUAUGUAUAUAACAAUAUUUAUAUGUAAAACUUGCGUCUUAAAAUCUAGACUGUUAAGAUCUAAGAUUAACGAUUGAGUGUUUUAGCAUAUGUGGAUAUGCGUACUUUUGAUAGUCUUGUAUCAAUGUGAUUUCUUGCUAUUCGAGAUGUUAAGAAACCAAGUGCAAAAAUAAAUUUGAUGGAUGACUACUGAUUUGGAAGUAAUUUGAUUACUUAGUGGAUUUUCUUUGCUUCUAAGUCUAAAUGUGGGAAGCUUUCUUGUAGUCAGAAUGGCGACACAUAUAUGCAACACUGGAGAGCAUGCUUUUUUUUGAAAGAUCCAGUUGCCUGGCUUUUCAUUGAUUUAGCAGAAGAGAGAGUUACAAAAAUGUCACUAAUCAAAAGGAGAUUAGCAACCGAAGAUGGGUCGAUAAUAUGGGUGGGGCAAGUAGAUUGUCCCCCCCUACUCUGUAUCUUUAGCCUAGGGUUUAUAUCUCAUGUGAUAUCCCCAAAGGGGGCCUUGUCGGUGUCAAAACCGGCGGAUCUCGGGUAGGGGGUCCCGAACUGUGCGUCUAGGCGGAUGGUAACAGGAGACAAGGGACACGAUGUUUUACCCAGGUUCGGGCCCUCUCGAUGGAGGUAAAACCCUACGUCCUGCUUGAUUGAUAUUGAUGAUGUGGGUAUUACAAGAGUGGAUCUACCACGAGA